rnacentral:rRNA from 1 species
UACGAAGGGGGCUAGCGUUGCUCGGAAUCACUGGGCGUAAAGCGCACGUAGGCGGCUUUUUAAGUCAGGGGUGAAAUCCUGGAGCUCAACUCCAGAACUGCCUUUGAUACUGGGAAGCUUGAGUCCGGGAGAGGUGAGUGGAACUCCGAGUGUAGAGGUGAAAUUCGUAGAUAUCGAGAGGAACACCUGCGGCGAAGGCGGGUUGCUGGGCUGACACUGACGCUGAACUGCGAAAGCUAGGGGAGCGAACGGG